CCUACGGGCGGCAGCAGUGGGGAAUAUUGGACAAUGGGGGCAACCCUGAUCCAGCCAUGCCGCGUGUGUGAAGAAGGCCCUCGGGUUGUAAAGCACUUUCAGUGAGGAAGAACGCCUGGUGGUUAAUACCCAUCAGGAAAGACAUCACUCACAGAAGAAGCACCGGCUAACUCCGUGCCAGCAGCCGCGGUAAUACGGAGGGGGCGAGCGUUAAUCGGAAUUACUGGGCGUAAAGCGCGCGUAGGUGGCUUGAUAAGCCGGUUGUGAAAGCCCCGGGCUCAACCUGGAACGGCAUCCGGAACUGUCAAGCUAGAGUGCAGGAGAGGAAGGUAGAAUUCCCGGUGUAGCGGUGAAAUGCGUAGAGAUCGGGAGGAAUACCAGUGGCGAAGGCGGCCUUCUGGACUGACACUGACACUGAGGUGCGAAAGCGUGGGUAGCAAACAGGAUUAGAUACCCUGGUAGUC
rnacentral:rRNA from 1 species